rnacentral:lncRNA from 1 species
CCCAGCUUUGGAAGACAUUUAUCUGCUGGAGUUCCAUCCUUCUCUUGGCCUGGCUGCACUCAUCCCCAAAGCCCUGGACUACCUCCUCCAGGAAGCCUGCCGGGCCUCUAGACCCACAACAGCCAGCGGCCUUGCCCUGCUAGAGCGACGCAUCCUGCGGCUGGCCCUGGACCUGUGCUUUGCCCCGACCCAGCCUGAGACCUGGUACAGUGUGCGGCUCCAGACAGAGCUGUUUUCGGCUAAAGUGAUGGGAGAUCCCUUUCUCGUGGAAGAGAUAGGCCUGCUGGCUCUCCAGCCUGCAGCAGCAGCAGGACAGGAACGAGGGCUGGGGCCUCCUGUGCUGCCCCUGGACACGUUCGCCAGACUCCUGGAGCUCUUGACCCUCCGCCACCGGCUGAUAGAAGCGAGUCUGCAGAGUGCGCACUUAGCUCGGCUCUAUAAGGAGUUGGCACAGGAGAUGGGGUUUGAAGAGUUCCAUUUGCACCUGAGGCCUGUUCCCUUUGAGUUUGCAUCACACAAGGAUGAGGUGGAUGGAUCACCGCCUGCCUUUGUAACUUCCCUGCUGGAGGACGCUGGCCAGCUGGACAGGUAUUCUCCUACUGCUCUCGUCUUAGCCAUCUCCGAAGUGGACGACAACCAAAUCGGCAAAUUUAGUUUUUAUACGAAGGAAGCCAUCCUUAAGCUCUUGUUCCAUUCUGGAGUGGAGAAUAUGCAGGUGACCCUGGCAUGCCAAGUUGCUCAGAAAAAUGCCCUGAUGGUGGCUGUCCGGCAGGCAUUCUUCUAUCACACUCCUCGAGGGCACUGUGCUGAGGCCAAGGUGAGCCACCAGCCAACACCAGGCUCCUUUCCCUCCUGUCCCUCUCCCAGGCCCCCUUCUUCCUCCCUGCCCCUCCUCUUCUCUUCCUCUCUCCUUUCCUUUUUCUCUUCCUUCCCUUUUCCCAUUUGUGGUCCGUGUGUGACCAGAUCCUUAACGGUCUCUCUAAGUUUCAAGGAUUUACUAACAACGCUUCCUUUGCGUAUAACUCUAAUGUUGACUUGGCUGGAGUCAGCAGCAGGAAAUUUUCAGGUCCCCAGUCCCUACACUUUGCAGGUAAACAAUUCCACUGUUUUUCUGUUGAUCCUUCCUGGAACUUAUUUUUGCUGUUGCAAAAGCAGGCAGAUAUGGGGCCAGCGCUGUGGCAUAGUGGGUAAAACCACCACCUGCAGUGCCAGCAUCCCAUCUCCCAGCGUUGGAUCAGGCCAGCUCCAGCCAUUGCAACCAUUUGGGGAGUGAACCAGCAGAUGGAAGAUCUCUCUCUACCUCUGCCUCUGCCUCUGGCUCUCUCUAACUCAGCCUUUCAAAUAAAUAAAUAAAUCUUCAAAAAAAGUUGGCA